rnacentral:lncRNA from 1 species
GGAUUAUACCAGUGGAGGUAGACUUGAGAGGGAGUUAGGAACAGAAACUGGUGAGACUUGGUGAUUGGGUAGGUAAGUAGGGGGCGAAUAAUGGAGUUCUCCAAGAUGACCCAUAGGUUUCUCCACUGGACAGCUAAGUGAAUCAUGAAGAAAAUAAAUGUUUUCUCUUUGGUUUUAGUGAUGAAGGGAGAAAUGAUAGAUUCAGUUUUGAGCAUAUUAAGUUUCAAAUGCCUACGGCGUCGUCUGAGACAUGCUCCAGAGGAAGUUGGAUAUCUCUCUCUGAAGCUCAUGAGAGAAAUAGAGAUUGAUUGGAGAUACAGAUUUGUGAGCCAUCAGAAGAUAAAUAAUUAAAGUUGUCUUUUGCUGAUGAAGCUGAAAGGACUCUUGCAAAUCGCUUCCUUUGACACAAUUUUAAAGUUCUCUCUUCUAGGCUGACUCCAACCAGUCCAUAAACUGAGAAAUAAAUCACAGAAGAAGGUUUAUAACGUUGGGAAAAGUCGUGUGAUCUUUUUCAGACAUUAGAGAGACCCAUAUGAUGGGAAAGCCACCAAAGUGACAGCUCGACUCUGUAGGUCUCCACACCCUACUUCCAAGUUCACCAUUUCAGCUCUUUGCAGGUAGACCUGGCAGACGGAACUACAUAAUCAAAGGCAAAGCAUGAAUGGAGGAAGUGUUUCCAAGGAUGUCUAGGCAGCAUGAUGUUAACAGUAUGUGCUGUUUGCAGGAAUAAUGAAGGACCCUGAAUGCCAUGUAUCGUCUCUCUAUUUCAUUCCAAAGAAAGGCCAUGUGAACCCCAGCAAGAUGGUGGCCAUCGACUAGCCUGGAAGAGAGCUCUCACCAGAAACGGACCAUGCUGCCACCCUGCUCUCAGACUUCCGGCCUCCAGAGCUGCCCCUCUUAUCUCCUCUGAGACAAGAAGUUAUUGUAUCCCUGCUAAGUGCUCAACAAGAUGCCUGUGGUUCCUGCCCUCAUGAAGCUGAGUCUGGGAGGAGAGGAUCAGAUAUCAGAUAACUAACUCUUAUUUUUACUUCUCUCUCUCUCCUUCCUAUAUUUCAUCUCCCUCUCUGUCUUCCUUCUCUCUCUCUCCCAUGCAUACUUCCCUUUUUUCGGUAGCACUCCCUUCUCCUUGGGCUCUGAGCCUUCUCUGUCUAUCCCUUUGAACUCAUUCUCAAGAGAGAAAUCUCUCUCUCUCUCUUUUUUUACCUCUCACGUUACUUGCCAAUUCCUUUCUUUCCCUGAUAUCCAAGACACUCAAAAAACAGUCUUCCGUAUACAUUCACCUGCCCCACUGACUGUCUUAAAGAAAGAGCUUAUAGUCUAUUGUUCGAAAUGUUGACCUCUCCCCUUUCUGGUUCACUUCCCUAGGUUCUGAU